rnacentral:rRNA from 1 species
GAUGAACGCUGGCGGCGUGCCUAAUACAUGCAAGUCGAACGAGGUGCUUGAGUAGCAAUACAAGAGUAUCCUAGUGGCGAACGGGUGAGUAACGCGUGGGUGACCUGCCCCGAAGUGUGGGAUAACAGUCCGAAAGGAUUGCUAAUACCUCAUGUGGUUAUCGGAUUUAGAAACUGAUAACUAAAGCAGCAAUGCGCUUUGGGAGGGACCUGCGUCCCAUCAGCUAGUUGGUGAGGUAAUGGCUCACCAAGGCUACGACGGGUAGGGGACCUGAGAGGGUGGCCCCCCACAAUGGAACUGAAACACGGUCCAUACACCUACGGGUGGCAGCAGUAGGGAAUAUUGCACAAUGGGCGAAAGCCUGAUGCAGCAACGCCGCGUGUGCGAUGAAGGCCUUGGUCGUAAGCACUUUCUGAGAGAUGAGAAAGGACAGUAUCUCAGGAAUAAGUCUCGGCUAACUACGUGCCAGCAGCCGCGGU